UGAAAAUAUGAAUCUCGUUAUCAAUCGGGCGGGAAAAGUUCCGUCUGUUGAGUUCCAUCUGUGUUUGACUUGUUUUAAGUCAAAAAGGUAGUUUUGAGUUUUGCCAUGGAAAUGGAAGUGGAUGGAACGAUCAACACAGAAAGGAGCCUGAGUCUCAUUGGAUCACGGCAGGUCUCCGUCACCGUGCAGGACAUCGAGGCGACUGCCCUUCUCUUAAGAGUGAUCAAAGGCAGAAUAUUGUUUCUCCUUUCGAAAAAUAACACUUCGAAUAGCACACAUAAUGAUUGGUCAUCGGUGGACCACGAUUCUAACGACGAAGUAUCAAUUUAUUUGCUUAAAGUCGCCUUGAAAUACAUGAAACGAUGUGUUGACACUCAUCCAGCCCUGUCGAAUUUUCUAUGGCAGAAGAUUGUCCUUAACGAAUCCGACAAAGCAAUUGUCCACAAACAAAAAUCCAUUUCAAAAGACUUUUUGUUGGAACAGGCGGUAAAAGAAGUCGUGAACCUUGCGGUCCACAUUUAUGAGCUUAUGAACAAAAAGCUUAAACAGUCCAAGAAGUACAUGGAAGUUGUGCACAUGAGCUGGCAAGUACAGUCUAACGUGAACCAGGUUAUCCCAGAUUCUGAGGAUGAAGAGAGUGAUGUUAGCGAGAAAAUACGGUUUCAGAAAUCGAAAGGAAAUGCUUUAAGGCGAGUAAAACGAUUGGGGGAAAUCAUACAGAGGCUUCUUGUGAUUUAUCCUGUUGACUAUAAGAAGAACGAACCAAUGAGAACAAUUUUGAAACGUCUUGUCAUUGUUGAUUCAAUGUAAUAGGAAUUUUCUUAAGAUGUCUGUUUUAUAUUCUAUUUCUUCUUAAAAAAAUGUACAUACAUCAUGUGAAAAAUUGAAACUAUGACUUCUUGUGGCAAUAAUCGCAUUUAUGUAAUUUACAAAAUAAAUUACCAGCACGCCAUGAAAAUCGCCUACCUCUGUUCUGGAAGUUUAGGGUCAUAUCUUGGUCUUAUUUGUCCCACCGUCAAAAUUAGAUUCUAGGAGAUGAUAAAGGUAGGCCAUUUCAGCCCCCAAUUGGUUUUUAAGUCUAAAUCUAUUCUCACUUUUUAAUGAAUUCUUUCUUCUUUUACCAUUUAUUCAAGUAGAGGGUGGUUCUCGAUAUUUGCUGCAUCACUCUAGUCUAAUUGAGGGUCUGUGUUAGUCAAUAUUCCACAAUCAGCCCAUUCACACUAAUAAA
rnacentral:misc_RNA from 1 species